UGGGGAAUAUUGCACAAUGGGCGAAAGCCUGAUGCAGCAACGCCGCGUGAGUGAUGAAGGCCUUCGGGUUGUAAAGCUCUGUCUUCUGGGACGAUAAUGACGGUACCAGAGGAGGAAGCCACGGCUAACUACGUGCCAGCAGCCGCGGUAAUACGUAGGUGGCAAGCGUUGUCCGGAUUUACUGGGCGUAAAGGAUGCGUAGGCGGAUUUGUAAGUCAGAGGUGAAAUCUUACAGCUUAACUGUGAAACUGCCUUUGAUACUGCAAACCUAGAGUAUGGAAGAGAGUGAUGGAAUAUCUGGUGGAGCAGUGAAAUGCGUAGAUAUCAGAUAGAACACCAACGGCGAAAGCAGUCAGUUGGGCCAUUACUGACGCUAAAGCACGAAAGCGAGGGUAGCAAACA
rnacentral:rRNA from 1 species